rnacentral:tRNA from 1 species
GAUGAUAAUCCCAAGCCUUCAGGCGUUCUGUUCAUCAAAUUUCGAAAACGUUAAAAAAAUAUUCAAGAACGUUUAAGAAAACAUUUGAAAGCGUUUAAAAAACAGAGGAGUGUUUAAGAAAUAUAUAUGUUUCUUAAACAUAUCUUGUAUUUGUCCCGAGGAAGGUUUUUACCGAUUUACUCCUGAGGGCUUGUAGCUCAGUUGGUUAGAGCGCGCGCUUGAUAAGCGUGAGGUCGGAGGUUCAAGUCCUCCCAGGCCCACCAGUUUAUGAUUGCUAAUAAAGUUUUUGCGAAUGUUUUGGUGGUUUUUGAUCUUGCAAUCUUUCAUUUUUAUGCUGCAAUCUUUCAAAAGUAUUUGGACUGUUUUAGGGGCCGUAGCUCAGCUGGGAGAGCACCUGCUUUGCAAGCAGGGGGUCGUCGGUUCGAUCCCGUCCGGCUCCACCAUCUUUAGUCAUCAUCAUCGCUAAAGGACAAUAUUUGCAAUAGAUCUAUAGAUCUUAAGUCUAUCAUUUAUUGCCUGUUCUGUUGAAAUCGUGAAGAG